rnacentral:rRNA from 2 species
AGUCAUGGUUAAGUGGGAAACGAUGUGGGAAGGCCCAGACAGCCAGGAUGUUGGCUUAGAAGCAGCCAUCAUUUAAAGAAAGCGUAAUAGCUCACUGGUCGAGUCGGCCUGCGCGGAAGAUGUAACGGGGCUAAACCAUGCACCGAAGCUGCGGCAGCGACGCUUAUGCGUUGUUGGGUAGGGGAGCGUUCUGUAAGCCUGUGAAGGUGUGCUGUGAGGUAUGCUGGAGGUAUCAGAAGUGCGAAUGCUGACAUAAGUAACGAUAAAGCGGGUGAAAAGCCCGCUCGCCGGAAGACCAAGGGUUCCUGUCCAACGUUAAUCGGGGCAGGGUGAGUCGACCCCUAAGGCGAGGCCGAAAGGCGUAGUCGAUGGGAAACAGGUUAAUAUUCCUGUACUUGGUGUUACUGCGAAGGGGGGACGGAGAAGGCUAUGUUGGCCGGGCGACGGUUGUCCCGGUUUAAGCGUGUAGGCUGGUUUUCCAGGCAAAUCCGGAAAAUCAAGGCCGAGGCGUGAUGACGAGGCACUACGGUGCUGAAGCAACAAAUGCCCUGCUUCCAGGAAAAGCCUCUAAGCAUCAGGUAACAUCAAAUCGUACCCCAAACCGACACAGGUGGUCAGGUAGAGAAUACCAAGGCGCUUGAGAGAACUCGGGUGAAGGAACUAGGCAAAAUGGUGCCGUAACUUCGGGAGAAGGCACGCUGAUACGUAGGUGAAGCGACUUGCUCGUGGAGCUGAAAUCAGUCGAAGAUACCAGCUGGCUGCAACUGUUUAUUAAAAACACAGCAC